rnacentral:lncRNA from 1 species
UUUGAUUUAUCUAUCCUACAAAGCUUUCCACAAGAAAAUAUAUUCUUGGAAAAGGUUUGUGCCUACUUUACAAGAUAAGCAUGAUGGGAUAAGAGCAAUAGGAGCAUCAUAACCAACAAAGCAACAAGUGGUGGGGCACAAGAACCUAUACCUUAGAGAAAUCAUUGUUCUAUUUCUCGACCACCUUCCUUGUGUGGCAAUUAUUCAUGCAACCUCACAUUCCAUUUUAUCUCCAUGUCCUUUAUCUACUGCUUGAAUUGUGAUAAAAGAAAAUGAAACUUAGGUCUAACUCAACCUCAAAAACUAGCUCAUGAGGGGAGAAUUACCCAAUACCAUAUAAGGAAACUGAAGACCCUUUAACCCACCGAUGUGGGACUCCAACACCCCCCGCACGCCCAGGGAUGGACAUGUGGAGCAUGGACAAUAUAAGACGGGGGGUCCAACAUUGGAAACAAUGAAUUGGGUGGGCCUGACUUUGAUAUCAUUAUAAAGAAAUGGACCUUGGACCUAACUCAACCUCAAAAGUUAACUAACUCAACCUCACAAGCUCAAAAGUUAGCUCAAGAGGUGAGGAUUAUCCAACUUCAUAUAAGCAAACCACUAGUCCAUUCUCCAACCAAUGUGGGACUUUUACCCACUCUAACACCCCCCACGCCCAGGCCCAACUGCCACUGGCGCGUGGACCGGGAGCCCAAAAUGGGGAUGGACCGAGCUCUGAUACCAUGUCAAGAAUGGACCUUGCGCCUAACUCAACCGCAAAAGUUAGCUUAUGAGGGGAGGAUUGCCCAAGACCAUAUAAGGAGAUUAAGGACCCUUUAACCCACCGAUGCGAGACUCCAACAAAUUGAUUUCUUCUUUUUUCGUCGUUGUUUUUUCUGCCUGUCAUGUUGUUAAAGAUGAGAAUAUAUAAGAAGCAUAAAGUUUGUAGGACCAAGGGAAUUUCUUUUUAUACUUCAGUGUUAUAUAUGCACAAUCAUGGCGACCUAAACAUACUCUCUUAGCGGUUUUAAGACUUUUUAUAUACAUCAAUUAUUUAUUCUUUGUUUUUUUUAGCUUAAAAGAACACUUUUCUUCAAAAUCUCAAAAUCCUAAGAUUGUAAGUUCUAGUCACCAUGGACGCAAAAAGGACAGGAGCUUCUAAGGAUGGAUAAAAGAAAAGUGGAGUUUGUAAAUUCAGUUUUUGAAGAGUUUCAAAUGUGUAUAUUUGAUUUGAUAUGUUUAUGAAAGUAAUAAUUAACUUUUUAGUUGGCUUAAAUGAAUGAAAUAUUAGGAAGUGGACAUAAAAUGGACUUUUUUUGAAGAACAUAGAAAUGAUUUUAGAAUAAAAAUUGGUGCAUUAUAUCCACCAGGGGCC